rnacentral:rRNA from 1 species
AAGCUCGUAGUUGAAUUUCGGGAUCAGACUGUCGGUCGUGCCUCGGUACGCACUGGCAUUAUUGGUUCCUACCUUCUGAAGAACCGCGAUGUCAUUAAUUUGGUGUCGCGGGGAAUCAGGACUGUUACUUUGAAAAAAUUAGAGUGUUUAAAGCAGGCUUACGCUUGAAUACAUUAGCAUGGAAUAAUGAAAUAGGACGUUUGAUUCUAUUUUGUUGGUUUCUAGGAUCGACGUAAUGAUUAAUAGGGUAGUUGGG